CCUACGGGUGGCAGCAGUGGGGAAUAUUGGACAAUGGGCGAAAGCCUGAUCCAGCCAUGCCGCGUGUGUGAAGAAGGCCUUCGGGUUGUAAAGCACUUUCAGUGGGGAAGAAAGACUUGGGGCUAAUCCCCUCGAGGAAGGACAUCACCCACCGAAGAAGCACCGGCUAACUCCGUGCCAGCAGCCGCGGUAAUACGGAGGGUGCGAGCGUUAAUCGGAAUUACUGGGCGUAAAGCGCGCGUAGGCGGUUCUGUUAAGCCGGUUGUGAAAGCCCCGGGCUCAACCGGGGAACGGCAUCCGGAACUGGCAGGCUAGAGUGCAGGAGAGGAAGGUAGAAUUCCCGGUGUAGCGGUGAAAUGCGUAGAGAUCGGGAGGAAUACCAGUGGCGAAGGCGACCUUCUGGACUGACACUGACGCUGAGGUGCGAAAGCGUGGGUAGCAAACAGGAUUAGAUACCCUAGUAGUC
rnacentral:rRNA from 1 species